GGUCAUGGCUCAGCGGUGGAGCACUCGUCUAGCACAUGCGAGGCCCUGGGUUCGAGUCUCAGCACCA
rnacentral:tRNA from 1 species